rnacentral:tRNA from 1 species
ANUCCAGUCCAGGAGGUGAAAUCACGCCGAAGUGCAAAUUCGGAAACGCACCCAGAAAGGGUGCCGGGGCUUCUCCCGUUU